rnacentral:rRNA from 1 species
GUGUCAGCAGCCGCGGUAAUACGAAGGGUGCAAGCGUUACUCGGAAUUACUGGACGUAAAGGGUGCGUAGGUGGUUCGUUAAGUCUGAUGUGAAAGCCCUGGGCUCAACCUGGGAAUUGCAUUGGAUACUGGCGGGCUGGAGUGCGGUAGAGGGUAGUGGAAUUCCCGGUGUAGCAGUGAAAUGCGUAGAUAUUGGGAGGAAUAUCUGUGGCGAAGGUGAUUAUCUGGACCAGCACUGACACUGAGGUACGAAAGCGUGGGGAGCAAACAGGAUUAGAUACCCUGGUAGUCCACGUCCUAAACGAUGCGAACUGGAUGUUGGGUGCAAUUAGGCACUCAGUAUCGAAGCUAACGCGUUAAGUUCGCCGCCUGGGGAGUACGGUCGCAAGACUGAA